rnacentral:rRNA from 1 species
GGGAGCUUGCACAGGUGCUGCAUGGCUGUCGUCAGCUCGUGUCGUGAGAUGUUCGGUUAAGUCCGCUAACGAGCGCAACCCUCGCUGUGUGUUAUAUGUGUCACACGGGACUGCCGGUCUUAAGCCGGAGGAAGGUGGGGAUGAUGUCAAGUCAGCAUGGCCUUUAUAUCCUGGGCUACACACACGCUACAAUGGCCAACACAAUAGGUUGCUAAGCCGCGAGGUGGCGCCAAUCCAUAAAGUUGGUCUCAGUUCAGAUUGUAGGCUGCAACCCGCCUGCAUGAAGAUGGAGUUGCUAGUAACCGCAGGUCAGCUAUACUGCGGUGAAUACGUUCCCGGGCCUU